rnacentral:lncRNA from 1 species
AAAAACCCAUUGAAUGUACAAAGAGAGACCCCUAAUAUAAACGAUAGACUUUAGUCAAUAAAAGUCUAAAUGAUAGACUUUAAUCAACUAAUGCAUCAACCUGAAUACUAAAUCAUCAGCUGUAACAAAUGUAAUGCACUAAAACAUGUUAUUAGGAACCAACUCCGUGUUGGGGGUCGGGGGAGCAGGAUACAAGAAUUCUGUACUUGCUGCUCCAUUUUUCUGUAAACUUAAAACUGCUCUAAAAAUAAAGUCUAUUAAUUUGUAAAAAUAUAUCAGAUUGUACAUUUUAAAAAUAUAGAGAGAGUUCUUUCAGAGAGUUAAUACAAUGUUUUUCCCUGAAAAAAGUCAUUGUAAAAAACUAAAAGUUGGGAAUUGUCUUACUAAAAUAAGAUUUGAUGUAGAUGGGUUCAUUACUAUGUUAUUGCUGCUUUUCACACAUACAUGCAGAGAGAAAAGGAAAGGAAAGAAUAAAAAAGAAAAAGAAAAAGAAAUCGAAAGAAAAAAAAGAAAAGAAAAAAGUUAUUUGGAGACAUAAAGGGAAUCAACCUUGAAUGCCUCCCUCCUCCUCCAGGCUGAGCAAUCUUGAAUACAGAGAAAUCUAAAGUCAGUGAUUCCUAAGGUGUGAUUCCUCCAGCUGCAGCAGCUUCCACUGGGACUUAUUAGAAGGCAGGGGUGGGGUGCAGCAAGCUGUGUUUUCCUUCCAGGUGAGUGUGAUGCUUCCUGAGGUUCCACAGCCAGUGCUUUAGGUCCAUGGAUCUCUAUACUUUUAGUGGACACAUAAACUCACAAACAAGUCUCCCAUGUUUGAAAACAGGGCUUGAGCAUAAGACUGGCACUAGGGGGAAGCGGGGGAGGUGCCCAAACACGCAGAAAUCAAGACAGGUAAUACUUUAAUGCAAUGUUUUAAAAAUUAUAAUAAUGCAAAAAAAACUAUAAUGAAUAAAAUAUCAACAUUUGCAAUCCGCCUGAUUUAUUUCCCCUUUCCUCUCAGGCUGUAAUGUGGUUCCACAAGGCACUGCUUCCCCAAGGGGUGGGGGCCGGGCAGAGGAGGGGAGGAGGGGUUCAGGGCUACUGUCACUGAAGCUAGUUCCACUCCUUUCUCCAGACUGAAGCACAUACCCUGUACCAUACCACCCUUCUUGAGUCAUGCCUCCUCAUUACCUGUUUAGCCCUCCCUUCACUAUAUACAUUAAAUAUGAUACUAAUGGAGUAGAAAAUGUUAGACUUUCCAGAAGAAAUUAAAUAAUUACUGUUCUCCAGAAAACUUACCAUUUCUGCAGGAAGUUGCCAACUGGAGAUCCGGCACUUGCCAUCUGCUUCUACAAGGAUUGAAUCAUGAGCUGCUCCAGUUGCUGACCUUCAACACCCCCUGAAAGAGUUCAGGAUGGAGAUCAGUAGUGAGGUGCUCUGUGCUCUGGGAAAAACUGGGAGAACAGCUCUUCAGAUAGAUAUUUUCAGGAGACUUAUGAGCCUAUUUCUUGUAUUCCCCUGUAUCUAGAAAAGUACUAAAAUUCUUCAUGGGGAUGCCUGCUCCCUGUGACUAGCAGUAGCCUUCUCAAGACUAGCAGUGAACUUCUGCAAAAUGUGUGCUUGACUGUAUGUACCUUGCUUCAACGGAAUCACAGAUAUAUGGACGUCCUCCCCUACCUCUUUGGAGUGGUUUCUCAGAGCUAUCUGAAAUGCUGCCUCCCGGGCUAUAGUCCUCAUCUUGCCCUGAAUAAAACACUAUGUAGCACUGAGAACUAUGUCUGGUCACUUAUGAUGGAGCAUGAUAAUGUGAGAAAAAAGAAUGUAUACAUGUAUGUGUAAAUGGGUCACCAUGCUGUAUAGUAGAAAAUUGACAGAACACUGUAAACCAGCUACAAUGGAAAAAUAAAAAUCAUUAUAUAUAUAAAAAAAUAAAACAACUCACAACUCUUACGUUCUUUCCUUCUUUCUUUUUUUUUUUUUGUCAACAGAGUUUACACACAGAAAUAAAUAGCAAAGAACUCAUAAAAUAAUAUCUCUACAUGCAAGCUAUAAUAGUGUUAAGGUUUAAAUUUGGGAGAACCACCAGGGAAAAGAGGGAGUCAGAUUAGUUUCAUUUGAUAACUUCAUAGAAAUGCUUUGUGAACUGCAAGUCCAUCACUGCCGAAUGUUAGCUGUGGCUCUCCUCUUCCUGGGAAAUGGCAACUUCAAAACACAUUUGGAAGGAAGUGAGGUCUAUAGACUAGGCAGAGAGGCUUAGAGAAGAAACAAAAAUCUGGAAGAAUAAAUGAGAAAAUGAAGUGUUGGAAAUGAAAAACAGAUGGGCUUAGCUCCUGUAGGAAUAAAGAAAACUGAGGCCAAAGAAGAAGAGUGGGUGUUAGGGAGGAAGGGCAAAGUGGGGCCAAUUGUGUCGGAGGAAGGCAUCGUGUGUGACUGAGCAUUGCUCAGCUGAGCCUUACCUGGAUUCUGAAAGCUGAGACACUGGAGCUCCUGCUUCAAGUUAGAAGUGGAAAGUCAUCAAGAGGAGAAAAUGACAUGAAAACUGAAUGAAAUGGUCAUUUUCAAUUUCAAGUGAAGUCUCCCGCUGGAGACUCUUUUAAGUGGUGGGGGUGGGAGCCGUCCAGAGCAAUGGUUUCUUUUCUUUUUCUUUUUUUUAAGAGAAUUAAAAACAAAAUGAACGGAAGCUCAGUUUGGGAGCCCUGACUGAUCCUGGACACAUGAGUCCUUCUGAAUAGAGACAGGACAGCAGCAUCCCUGUGGGAAUCUACUGCCCCAGUGGUUGCGUCUUCUCUGAGCUUGACAAACAGUUUUCUUGGUGGAGAAAUGGAUUUGUCUCUCUUGGUAAUUGUUGCUGAAGACCUGCAGCUGAGAUCCAUGGGGGCUGCAGGAGCCCAGCCAGGACAAGGCUCAGCAGGUGGUAGGAACAAGGGCUCUGGCUUAAACUGAGCUAACAGGUCAAGAAGAGUCAGACUGGGCAAGGCGAAGCUCAUCCUGAACUUGUUGCUAAGAAGUAAACUGCCAGUAGAAACUAAGGUCAGGUGCCAACUGAGCAGCAAUGCUACUGCUUUCUGGAACUGAGAAGGAAAGGGGUGCCUCAGGGUUGUGGGCAUGGCUUAUAAGAACCAUAAGUAUUUGAGAUCAGUUUCCCUGGGAUGACCCAUUAGAGACUUCAUGGAGAGGUGAUGGCACUGGAACAGAGUCUAGGAAAGUGUGAUUAUUCACCAGGAUCAGGGCUUGUCUAUCACCUAGGUUUAGCAAAGUGUCUAAUUAGAGACAUCACUCAGAUGGAAGUAAGAGAGCGUGGGAUGUCCCCUGCAAAGCGUAGACUUUGUGGAAUAGGAAAGUGGAGGGAUGGGUUCUGACAAACUGGCGCUCACUGUCCCCAUCACAUCUAGUGACACAUGGGCUGCCCUCAUCAGAACAGUCUUCAUCCUGACUGGGUCCAAGAGAGGGAACCACUGGCCAGAGCUGAAGUGUGGCACAGCUCUGUACUUGAGGAGAUGAUGACUUUGGGACCAAGACAAGGGAGAAGAAAACAGAGGUUCUGAGAGGAGAGAAUUCUACCAGCCUGGAGGCCAUGCCCACUGAAGUGAAGGAAAGAUAUGCAAAGCUUAGGUCUAUAAGUUGUAUCAAUAGAUAAGGGUUUUCCUUAAAAUUAAAAAAAAAGUUCUGUGUGUAUAAAUAAAAUAUAUAGAUAAUAUACAGAGACAAUAUAAGUAAUAUAUUGCCUAUAUAUUAUAUUACAUAGAUUGUCUAUAUAUUAUGUGUGUAUAUAUAUGUGUGUGUGUGUAUAUAUAUAUUCUUUUAGAGUUGGAUAAUGGUCUCCUUUGAAAAUACUAACUUGCCUCUGAUAAACUGGGAGUAAAUGAUUUUUGUCACUACUUGAAAACAAAAAUAAGGCCAAAAAGUUAAGAUCUUUGUAUUAGAGAGUGAAGAGUUUUUGAGACUCUUGAGUUAUGCAGUGAUGUGAUGAAAUCAGUCUUCGAGAAGAAAGAUCUGAGCAGCACUGCCUAGGAUGCAUUUGAAGAGAAGAUGGACGAUGGAAAGCCUAGUAUUCCAGGCUGUUGAAAUGGUUUAAAAAUAUAGGACUUGAUGGUAAUGGUGUAGAGGGACAAAUCUCUAAGGACAAAAUGUGCAGAGCUGCCUAUAGGUAGAAAAACAGGAGCAAUGGCUCUGUGUCUUCUGAAGGAGGCACUAGAGGAAUGUUGGAGCUCUUGGCAGCAGUGAGGAAACCAGGCUGGAGUGACUAUUUGUAAGGGAGGGGCUGAUAAUGAAUCAUCUCAAUGUUAGAUUUUAGGACAAGUGGAACAUCCAUAUUUUAUGGGCAACUAGAGCUACAGCAAUGGAGAGAGAGUGAGAGGUCAAGUAAAAUUUAGAAAAUAAAAUACCAAAGUUGAAGCUAUGUGCAUAGCGGUACAGCCAAGAACCAGAGGCACAAACAUUGUAAUAACAACACUGGUAAUCAUAACUUCUACUACUUACUGAAUGGCUACCAUGCUCCAGCCACUCUACCAGCAGUUUUAUUUGUAUCUAGACACUUUGAAAUAGAUCUGGCUCUAUUUUAGAUGGGGAAUUGAGGCUCUAAGAGAUUUAAGGUCUUACCUAAGGUCACACAUUGAAGAACUAGGAUGAGAUUUCUGUCUACUGAUUCUCAAUCCAAUCUUUUCCCACAACCUGUUUCUUUUCAUCUAUGGAGGUUCAGUCUUCUUGUCAUAAAACGUUUGAGAUGCAGAUAUGGAAAUAUGGAUAUCUUGUGAAUACCUCUGGAGCAACUUUAGAUAGAAGAGAGUAAAGGAACUCAGGGUAUAAACCCUGGCUGGGCCCAAGAGAGACACAGGUGUGAUAUAGACGGUGGCCGAGAAACUUGUCAUGUCCUCCUAUGAUGAUGGAAAGUCAAUAAAGAAAGCAUCUCCCCUCUUGCUCUAAAUCCAACACAGCACAAAAGUAGAACAUUGAGAUAAAAUUUGGUUUUGAAACACUUAGUUGCCUCCCCCGACUGAUGCAAAGGGAAAGAAGAUCUAGACAAUGGCUCUAAAGAGAAGCAGAAGUUCCAAUCGGGAGUUGAGCAGAGGUAAACAGGCUUUAGAGCUUCAUUAAUAAACUCCCAGGACAUGUCCACAUCCACAUCAGUUAUAAGUCCUCUCAUGUUCUCCUCUCUUCCCCUUGGCCCUAAAUGUUCCAAAACCAAAUGUAAGCAAUUUUUAUCCUAUUUUCCUAACACUGAAUAUAGUAGUUACAUGUAAGUUUUGAGGUCAAACGACAAGAUUCUUCAGUUGAGGCCCUAAAGGAGCAUUUAAUAAUCAGUAAACAUGUGCUAUUCUCUGGUAGACACCAAGAUAUGAAGAUAAAGUAGACAUUUCCUGCCAUCCAGAAACUCACCAUCUUUACACAGGCAAUAGUGUAUCACACCACGUGGUGAAAGACUAGAGAAGGAUGAACUGUAUUCUGGGAAAAAAAAAACAAAAAA